rnacentral:rRNA from 1 species
ACGGAGGGUGCAAGCGUUAUCCGGAAUUACUGGGCGUAAAGCGCGUGUAGGCGGUCCUGUAAGUCUGAUGUGAAAGCCCCGGGCUUAACCCGGGAAGUGCAUUGGAAACUAUGGGACUUGAGUACUGGUGAGGAAGGGGGAAUUCCCGGUGUAGAGGUGAAAUUCGUAGAGAUCAGGAGGAAUAUCAAUGGCGAAGGCGCCCAUCUGGACAGUAACUGACGCUGAGGCGCGAAAGCGUGGGGAGCAAACAG